UUAUUAUUUUCUUCUUUCAACCUAAAAGUGAAAAAAUCGAGUACUUCUCACGCACCGUAUCAUUGCCCUCGGGGAUUUUUUUUCCCUCGCUGUUUCUUCGCCGGCGAAAUUGCUUCCGUCCACUUUCCGGCGAACGUUGGAGAUGGUUGAUUCGCGGAAUUUUUAAUUUCUGGGGAUGGUGAAAUUGGAAAUUCGCAGUCGCAUGUAGAGGACGCAAUCGAGGAGUAUAUAAUUGGAUCGGGAAUUAGCCACGCUCCGCGUUGAAAUUGAGUAGGAAAAGCGCAAGAAUGUCGUAUGAUAGCAAGGGAUUCUGGAUGAUGAAGAACAAUGAACAUGUAACUGGGGAUGAUCAAACUUACAGCAAUCCAACGAGAGGAGACGUGAAGCGAUCUCAUUCUUGGUUUUUGGAUGCUGCUCAUCCAGAAAUGUUCCCCAAUAAAAAGCAUGUGAUACAAGAUCCAAUCGGAAGAUCAAAUGUAGGCGUUCCUUCUUGGGAGAGCAGUUCUGUUUUUCAUUCGGACUCGAACCAGU